UUGGCAGGUCCUUUGCUGUCCUUUGAGCAUGGCCCAGACCUCUGAGAAUACUGGGAGGAAAAAGAAUAAUUCCAAUGAGUAUUUCAGAGAUUCUGCUGUCAGAUGCUUUUCUGCUUUCACACAGGCUCAAUCCUGACAUGACUGACUUCAGUAAAGUCACUUUAGGAGCAGCACUACUGGGAAGCAGCAGGAAUCCUCCUGCAAGAGAUGAGGAUUCACGUCAGGAUGAUACUGCUGAGGAUUCACAGUACAUCAACACAGGAAACAGUCCUGCUGGCUUCAGAAACAUCAAAAUAAGACCUGCCAGCCUCAAACAACACCCUCUUUCUUCGCAUUAG
rnacentral:lncRNA from 1 species